rnacentral:misc_RNA from 1 species
GAUGAAGAACGCAGCGAAAUGCGAUAAGUAAUGUGAAUUGCAGAAUUCAGUGAAUCAUCGAAUCUUUGAACGCACAUUGCGCCCGCCAGUAUUCUGGCGGGCAUGCCUGUUCGAGCGUCAUUACAACCCUCAGGCCCCCGGGCCUGGCGUUGGGGAUCGGCGGAGCCCCCCGUGGGCACACGCCGUCCCCCAAAUACAGUGGCGGUCCCGCCGCAGCUUCCAUCGCGUAGUAGCUAGCACCUCGCGACUGGAGAGCGGCGCGGCCACGCCGUAAAACACCCAACUCUUCUGAAGUUGACCUCGAAUCAGGUAGGAAUACCCGCUGAACUUAAGCAUAUCAAUAAGCGGAGGA